AAUCAACCAGGUAGCACGUCCUCAUAUGACACCAUGCCCAUUGCUGCCACCGUAGCUGGCCAACAAUGAAGAGACCACGCCACAGCGCACGCGAUGGGCAGGCCGUCAUUCAAGCACACGAUAUAUGACGUAUAGCCCAUAGGCCACUCCGCCGAUAUAAUACGCUGCAUCCGCGAACACUUAGGCCACCCGUGUCCCGGUUGGAGAGUUAGUGAGUAAGGUCACAUAAUUAUCCAAAGGGCCACGAGCGGCACCGUGUGGCCACUCCCGUACCGAGUUACACGGAGGGAGGGGGACAAAGAAUAUGAUACCGAGUCACAUUUCGUGACAGACCACGUAGGCAACACAGGCAAAGCAUGAGGUCCCAAUAACAUUUUUGGGUUCUACAAUGAGGAGAUGCAGUAACGACGGUUGGGUGCGCAAGGCACGGAGCCCGCCUUCACAAGCAAAUGUCAAGCAACUUAUGUGCCGACACGGUCAUUCUACCGUACAUCACCCCAUCGCCCAUAUGCAAGUAUAUCACAAGGAUA
rnacentral:misc_RNA from 1 species